AAUAGGCUAAUUAAGAGCGUAAGGGGAAUGCCUUGGCUCUCAGAGGCGAUGAAGGACGUGAUAAGCUGCGAUAAGCUGUGGGGAGUGGCACAAACACUUUGAUCCGCAGAUUUCCGAAUGGGGCAGCCCGGCAUAUUGAAGAUAUGUCACACUGCAAAGUGAGCAAACCUGGUGAACUGAAACAUCUAAGUAACCAGAGGAAUAGAAAACAAAAGUGAUUCCGCUAGUAGUGGCGAGCGAACGUGGAACAGCCCAAACCUAUGUUGUUACGGCAAUAUAGGGGUUGUAGGACCUCAAUAUUUAAUGCUAAAAGAACUAGAAUUUACUGGAAAGUAAAACCAUAGAAAGUGAUAGUCCUGUAUAGGUAAUUGAUGUUAUUAAUAGAGGUAUCCUGAGUAGUACGGGGCACGUGAAACCUUGUAUGAAACUGCCGGGACCAUC
rnacentral:rRNA from 1 species